rnacentral:tRNA from 1 species
CAAAAAAUAGUUUAAAUUAAAACAUUAAUUUUGGGUAUUAGAAAUAUUCUGUAGAAUUUUUUUGA